rnacentral:rRNA from 1 species
UNCGUGCCAGCAGCCGCGGUAAUACGUAGGGCGCGAGCGUUGUCCGGAUUUAUUGGGCGUAAAGAGCUCGUAGGUGGUUCGUCGCGUCUGUCGUGAAAGCCAGCAGCUUAACUGUUGGUCUGCGGUGGGUACGGGCGGGCUUGAGUGCGGUAGGGGUGACUGGAAUUCCUGGUGUAGCGGUGGAAUGCGCAGAUAUCAGGAGGAACACCGAUGGCGAAGGCAGGUCACUGGGCCGUUACUGACACUGAGGAGCGAAAGCGUGGGGAGCGAACAGGAUUAGAUACCCUGGUAGUCCACGCUGUAAACGUUGGGAACUAGGUGUGRGGAUGCUAUCCU